ACAGGUGCUGCAUGGCUGUCGUCAGCUCGUGUCGUGAGAUGUUGGGUUAAGUCCCGCAACGAGCGCAACCUCGCCUUUAGUUGCCAGCACGUUUGGUGGGCACUCUAGAGGAACUGCCGGUGACAAGCCGGAGGAAGGUGGGGAUGACGUCAAGUCCUCAUGGCCCUUAUGUCCUGGGCUACACACGUGCUACAAUGGCGGUGACAGUGGGAAGCUAGAUGGUGACAUCAUGCCGAUCUCUAAAAGCCGUCUCAGUUCGGAUUGUACUCUGCAACUCGAGUACAUGAAGGUGGAAUCGCUAGUAAUCGCGGAUCAGCAUGCCGCGGUGAAUAUGUUCCCGGGCCUUGUACACACCGCCCGUCACACCAUGGGAGUUGGUUUGACCCGAAGCCGGUGAGCGAACCGCAAGGACGCAGCCGACCACGGUCGGGUCAGCGACUGGGGUGAAGUCGUAACAAGGUAAGCGUACGUGU
rnacentral:rRNA from 1 species